rnacentral:rRNA from 1 species
CACGUAGGGUGCGAGCGUUGUCCGGAAUUAUUGGGCGUAAAGAGCUCGUAGGCGGUGUGUCGCGUCGGCCGUGAAAACCUGGGGCUUAACUCUGGGCUUGCGGUCGAUACAGGCAUCACUGGAGUUCGGCAGGGGAGACUGGAAUUCCUGGUGUAGCGGUGAAAUGCGUAGAUAUCGAGAGGAACACCAGUGGCGAAGGCGAGUCUCUGGACAUUUCCUGACGCUGAGGCACGAAAGCCAGGGGAGCAAACGGG